GAUGAAGAACGUAGCGAAAUGCGAUACGUAAUGUGAAUUGCAAAUUCAGUGAAUCAUCGAGUCUUUGAACGCACAUUGCGCCCCCUGGUAUUCCGGGGGGCAUGCCUGUCCGAGCGUCAUUGCUGCCCUCAAGCACGGCUUGUGUGUUGGGCCCCGUCCUCCGAUCCCGGGGGACGGGCCCGAAAGGCAGCGGCGGCACCGCGUCCGGUCCUCGAGCGUAUGGGGCUUUGUCACUCGCUCUGUAGGCCCGGCCGGCGCUUGCCGAUCAACCCAAAUUUUUAUCCAGGUUGACCUCGGAUCAGGUAGGGAUACCCGCUGAACUUAAGCAUAUCAAUAAGCGGAGGA
rnacentral:misc_RNA from 1 species